rnacentral:lncRNA from 1 species
GUGUUGUCUAUAGUUUCCCUUAAUGCUAGAGGGUGUUGUGUUGUGUUGUCUAUAGUUUCUCUUAAUGCUAGAGGGUGUUGUGUUGUCUAUAGUUUCUCUUAAUGCUAGAGGGUGUUGUGUUGUCUAUAGUGUGUCUUAAUGCUAGAGGGUGUUGUGUUGUGUUGUCUAUAGUGUGUCUUAAUGCUAGAUGGUAGGGUGUUGUGUUGUCUAUAGUGUAUCUUAAUGCUAGAGGGUGUUGUGUUGUCUAUAGUGUGUCUUAAUGCUAGAGGGUGUUGUGUUGUCUAUAGUGUGUCUUAAUGCUAGAGGGUGUUGUGUUGUGUUGUCUAUAGUGUGUCUUAAUGCUAGAGGGUGUUGUGUUGUCUAUAGUGUGUCUUAAUGCUAGAGGGUGUUGUGUUGUCUAUAGUGUGUCUUCAUGCUAGAGGGUGUUGUGUUGUGUUGUCUAUAGUGUGUCUUAAUGCUAGAGGGUGUUGUGUUGUGUUGUGUUGUCUAUAGUGUGUCUUAAUGCUAGAGGGUGUUGUGUUGUCUAUAGUUUCUCUUAAUGCUAGAGGGUGUUGUAGGGUGUUGUGUUGUCUAUAGUGUAUCUUAAUGCUAGAGGG